UCGUGGAGUGAUUUGUCCGGUUAAUUCCCUAAACGAGCGAGACCUUAGCCUACUAACCUAGAAGGGUUGAUGCUACAUCAGCUGCUUCUUCUUAGAGGGACGGAGCGCGUUGAGCGCUCGGAAGUUUGAGGCCAAAACA
rnacentral:rRNA from 1 species